rnacentral:rRNA from 1 species
CCGGCGCACGGGUGCGUAACGCGUAUACAAUCUACCUUAUAGAGGGGGAUAGCCCAGAGAAAUUUGGAUUAAUACCCUAUAGUAUUAUGAAAUAGCAUUAUUUUAUAAUUAAACAUUUAUGGCUAUAAGAUGAGUAUGCGUUCUAUUAGUUAGUAGGUAAGGUAACGGCUUACCUAGACUUCGAUAGAUAGGGGUCCUGAGAGGGAGAUCCCCCACACUGGUACUGAGACACGGACCAGACUCCUACGGGAGGCAGCAGUGAGGAAUAUUGGACAAUGGGCGAGAGCCUGAUCCAGCCAUGCCGCGUGCAGGAAGACGGCCCUAUGGGUUGUAAACUGCUUUUAUACAGGAAGAAACACUCCCUUGCGAGGGAGCUUGACGGUACUGUACGAAUAAGGAUCGGCUAACUCCGUGCCAGCAGCCGCGGUAAUACGGAGGAUCCAAGCGUUAUCCGGAAUCAUUGGGUUUAAAGGGUCCGUAGGCGGGACAAUCAGUCAGCGGUGAAAGUCUGUGGCUCAACCAUAGAAUUGCCAUUGAUACUGUUGUUCUUGAAUACUUAUGAAGUGGUUGGAAUAUGUAGUGUAGCGGUGAAAU